CGCCCCUGAGCUGUCAGAGUUCUGUCUUCUGUCCUGCCUGGGCCUGGCCAGUCAGAAGGGGAACUGCUGGGGGGCAAGUUUCUUUCUUUUUUUUUUUUUUUAAGAGAGAAUGGGAGAGAGAGAGAGAGACAGAGAGAGAGAGAGAGAGAGAGAGAGAGAGAGAGAGUGAGAAUUUUUUUUUUUAAUAUUUAUUUUUUAGUUCUGGGCUGACACAACAUCUUUGUUUGUACGUGGUGCUGAGGAUCGAACCCGGGCC
rnacentral:lncRNA from 1 species